rnacentral:lncRNA from 1 species
UUUUUAAUUUUAACCAUUUGAUGUUAGUAUUAAAAACAACACCAUUGGAUCCUUCAGGUGCAUUGUAUCUAACUGUGAACUAGCAACACUUAAUAUUAUUUCACUGUUCUUCAUCUUCUUCACUCCCCUUCUUCAUCAUCUUCAUCAAACAAUCUCAUAUCUUCAAACAUCAAAACCCAGAAGAAGAAAAAAAGAAAAAGAAAAAAAAAAUCACAAAUUAAAUUCUUCUAAAAAAUCUCUAAAUUGUUGCUUCGCGGUAACUUCAACCAAUGCUUACAGAAUUGAGGAAUUCUUGAAGAUCCAAGACAACACUAGCUUCAAUGUGCCAAUACAUUGCCCUUUGAAAUCCUCUUUGUUCUAACCAUAUCCUUCCAGGAAAUGGGCAAGGGAUACGCCCAGUAACAACAAAGCAACUCUCAUAUUUUGAUUUGGGACCAAUUUCUAUCUUUGGGAUUUAAAUUCAAUUUCCUUGUAAN